UUGGAUCAAACUGAGUUAAGUUAGGUCAAUAUUUGGUUAAAAUGAGUCGGGUUGAGGUUAAAUCGGAUAAAAGAAACAGAAUCGACACAAAAUGUCAUUUUAAGGACCCAAUUGACAAAAAACUUAUUUCAAGGACGAAUUUAAAAGUGGGUAAUAACUCGAAGGAAGUAAAGAGUCGUUCAGACUUUAAUAGUUUAAUUUAACAAGUCGUAAUAAGAGCCACGUUGAGGAUUGUUAUUUUGACCGCAAGAACUGAAGUCCUGAUAGGAUCCUUAAAUGUUGGGGAUGAGGAAUAUUAUGCUGAGCACGAGCAUUGAAGUUAGGGUAGUAGUCGUGUUGAGGUCCAUGAGGAUUGUGGUGUUGACCACGAGCACUGAAAUCCUGAUAGGAACCAUGUUGAGGAUUGUUAUAUAAUCAACAGAAACUAUGAAAACGUGGUGAUGCUAUGUUUGGCAACAAAAUUCCAAGCAUUCAAAUCGGAAUUGAAAGCAGUAGCAAUUCCAUAGAAUUGAAAUUUAGUUAAAUUUGGUGCUUAAUUCCAAUUGCAAGGCUUGGAAUCAUGUUGUCAAAUAUAACAUUAAUGUUUCUCUUCAUAAUGAUUUCUAUUUUAACCUACAUCACAACAAAUAUUUUGAAAUACAAUACCUUUUUGUUAUUUAAUUUUGACUCCAAAGUAUGCAGAUGGAACCAGUAACUUUGAGGUUAUUCAUCAUGGCCUCUACCAUUCUCCCAGCCUAUGAGGUCCAAAAAUAUAGUUCUGCAUUAUAUGGAAACAAGUAAUUACUAAACCAAUGAUAUUAAAAGGGUGACCAUCUAGACCCCCAAGACCAACUCGACCAAUCCAAGAACACCUAAGAAAGAACCUAGGUUGCCACUAGAGUCGGAAAUACUUUUGACUAACCCAUCAACCCAUAAUUAAAUGGGUUGAAUUAUCCACUUAUCUUACCAGGUCUUAGUUGGGUUUGGUUAAAUGGAUAACAAAAGUUAUAUAGGUUAGAUGGAAAAAACCAUGGAUAAUAAAUGGGUAAAUCGCCUAUCGAUCCUUUACACGGUAUACACAGAUUUUAUAAGCCACUCUCACGCCAAUCAUUAUCUGGAGUUGAUCCAUCACUUACUUUGAUUGCACUGCGGGUCUCUACAGUGACCUGGGUUGAAGCUUUGAUUCUCUUUAUGUGAAUGUAUACAAGGAUCCACUGAGAUUUUGGCUGUUACAUAUAAUUGAUUUUUUUUUUUAAUUUUGUUCUGUUGAGUAAUUCCAACCCCUCUGUUCUACUGAAAAAUUCCGGGGUAGAUGAUAUUUGAAACUUAAAUUGUAAAUUGUCUUUUUCGCAGUAAGAAAAAAGAUGUACUUUGAGAAAACGAGGAGAGAUUAAAUAGAAGCAGAUUAGUUAGUUUUCCUCUGUCCAGCUAUUUUUAUGUUUUCCCGUAAACAAUGACGCAAGUUACAUGUGUUGAUGGGUUUAACCCUAAUUCAUUUUCAACCAAUUUAUUAGUGACCCAACCCAUUAGUAACCCACAGCUCAUUUAAAUUUAUCCAUUACCUAUUAAAUCAACCCAUUUAUCCCCUUUAAUUGCCACUUAUAGGCACCUGGGCAGUCGCUCGGGUUCUGAGACAUUUUGGAACGUCUCAAAAUUUGGUUAUCGCAUGCGUACCUAGCUGCCAGGACAACCUAACAGGCCAAACACAGCACCAUAAAGGCAGAUAUAACAACUAAGGUUCUAAAAUGUAAACUUAACUGUUUUUCUCGGACAUCUAUGAGGAUCAAGACCCUAGAAAACGUAAGUAUUUGAGGCUACUUAAAUUUCUAUAGACCUAUAAGUGACUCUACAAUAGGACUCAACUAAUACAAUCUGCUCCAAGCCAGAGUCUGGGCAAACUUUGACCAAAACGUAAUAGAUGCUCUACUAAGUACACUUUUGAUCAAAGAAGCUUCUUAGUUUCAGACUCAACAUCUUUGUUUUAGAUCUCAAAAGUUCUUAUACUUUUUCAUCAAUAAGCAUGUAGUCACUAAGUUUAGAGCUUAAACUCUGUGCUGCCCAGAGUAGUAGUCUCCCACUAACAUCUGAACAAUCCCACGUAAUUUGGAUGCAAGAAUGCAGUAAAACUCACAUCGCUUGUGUUGCUCCAUCCCAUGCCCAUAAGAGAACCUAUGGCACUGUUUGGCACCUUCACCUCCAUAAAAUUGUUGACAUUGAGUAUCUGGAACACAAAUAAGAUAUCAAUCACUAGAAUCAAAACUUGAAACCAGAAAGAACGUCAAAAUAACAUAAGAUGCAUCUACAUGCAUAUAUAAGCAAUAAAUACCCAGUAGCAUUUUAAUGAACUGGAUAACAUGGAGGCUUGUACUCACGUCCACAAUCCUUCAGAAUAUAGCAUCAACAAUUAUUCAGUAACAAGAAGUGCCAAGCAAUUGUUAGGAAUCAUCUCAAACACUAGAAAAAAGAGUAAAGCAAUAAAUUCAAUAAAAAUCUUAAAGAUAAAUACUCCCUCCAUCCCCAAGAGGAUGACUAAAUCUACAAAAAAAAAUUGUCCCCGAAAGAAAAAGAUAAAACACAUAAAGUGAAGAGUAAACAUGUCAUUUAGUGGGGUCCAUUAGGAGAAAAAAACUAAAAAUACUCAUCACUUUAUAUAAUCUUGUAGGGCUACUAAGGAUUAAUUUGGAACUUUUUUACUCUCAUUACUCUACUUUUACUUUUCUUAAUAUGUGUGCCAAUUGUACUUUGCUUAUCUUUUGGGAACAGAAGUAGUACAUAAAUAAAUAAAAUAAUCAUGAACUGCAAUCUUCCUCAGUAUUUGGUAUAAAACCCAAACAAGAAGACGCCUCAGUGAAAGACAGCAAUAACACUAAACCAAAAAGACAUGGCCUGUAGAAACAAAGUGGCAGUCACGUGAUAGGGAUCAUGGGUUGUUUUCCAUAUCUUUUGUAUAAUCUAUGUGUACCGGGAUGGAGGGUUUGGCUUUGAUUUGAGCUUGUUUGGUAAUAUCUGAAACAGAGACUGAUUUCAGAACACUACAAACGUAGCACUAAAGAAGGGAAAACACCAAACUCUGUCAGUGAUGGGUUUUAUCAAACACUUAACACAAAGAAUUGAGCUCAAAUAUGUGCUACUUCACCGAAUUUGAGCCUCACUUCGUGGAUUUGUGUUAUCUAAUUUUUUGCCAAUGUAUGGGAAAUUAUUCGCCAAAGAAAUAGGGGUCUUAUAUAGAGCUUAUAAGAGCAUAAGAGGUUUCAGUGAAAGAACCAAUUUAACUUCGUCCACUUUCACCAUCAUAAAUUGGAUUUCAGAUUUAUUGUCCAAGUCAUUAUAUUAUCAAUAGCAAUUUCAUAAAGGUCUAUAUAUGAUCAAUACCUAAUUUGAAUAACAAAAUAGUCGCCGGAAGAAAAUUUCACAAGUUUCUAAACCCAAACAAACUACAGCGAACCAGUUGAAGAAGUAUUAUCUAGAUACAAAAAAUUGAAGUAUUCAGAAAAGAUCUGAAAUAAUGUUGCAAAAAAUAAGAACCAUGUAAUCACCUAGCAUAACUAGUUCAACAUAAACCUAUUAACAAUCUGCAAAAGGUUUCUAGAUAAUGAUUUCAACAUGAAGUACCUUGAAAAGAUCAUAACCAUCAGAGCUACCGACUCCUAUGGCACCAGACGGAGGUGGUCCUCUGAUGACCAAAUCCUGGGUGUGGCCAACUGGAGCAGGUUCACCUAAAGCUUUUGCGUCUUGCAGACAUCUCGCUCUAAGUCUAGACACAAUCUAUCCCAAUGCAUCUUUAGACCUAUAAGACUUGAAGAUACCAGAGCACAAAUUAUUUAAGAGGAAUCAAAACUAGUUUGUAGCAAACUUAGCAGAAAAAAACUGGUUGUAGCAUGAGCUACAGAUAUAGAAAAUUGCAUUGCAAAGGAGACAAAUGUUAGUGCUUAAGCUAAAUUUUAACUUUUCCUGGUAAAAAAAUUGAUCGAUUUCUGAUGACAGAUUGAUCGGGUCAAAAUUUUUCGUCAAUCUAUCGACUCGAGCGUCAAGGAAUAUGAUUUCAAGAUUCUUAGCUCGAGUCAUA
rnacentral:lncRNA from 1 species